GGAGGGAGUGACUAGUGACAGAGUGAGGAAGCGGGUGACACAGUGACAGAGUUAGGGAGGGAGUGACUAGUGACAGAGAGAGGGAUGGGGUGACUAGUGACAGUCACCACCUCCCUCACUCUGUCACUAGUCACCACCUCCCUCCGUCACUGUGUCACCCCCUCCCUCACUCUGUCACCAGUCAUCCCCUUACUCUGUCACUAGUCACCCCUCCCUCACUCUGCCACUAGUCACCCCUUCCCUCAC